rnacentral:sRNA from 2 species
UGAAUAAACAGGCCGAAUUUCGUAAUGAAAACGGGGGAACCAUUUAAUUGGGGUGAAUUUCGCUUAUGCAAGGCAGCGAAUAGGGCAACCUGUGAUAUGCCCGAAUCCGUCAGCUAACCUCGUAGGCUGUAACACAGGAACC